rnacentral:rRNA from 1 species
CAUUACCGAGUGAGGGCCCUCUGGGUCCAACCUCCCACCCAUGUUUAUUGUACCUUGUUGCUUCGGCGGGCCCGCCUCACGGCCGCCGGGGGGCUUCUGCCCUCUGGCCCGCGCCCGCCGAAGACACCAUUGAACACUGUCUGAAGAUUGCAGUCUGAGCAAUUAGCUAAAUAAGUUAAAACUUUCAACAACGGAUCUCUUGGUUCCGGCAUCGAUGAAGAACGCAGCGAAAUGCGAUACGUAAUGUGAAUUGCAGAAUUCAGUGAAUCAUCGAGUCUUUGAACGCACAUUGCGCCCCUUGGUAUUCCGGGGGGCAUGCCUGUCCGAGCGUCAUUGCUGCCCUCAAGCACGGCUUGUGUGUUGGGCCCCGUCCUCCUUCCCGGGGGACGGGCCCGAAAGGCAGCGGCGGCACCGCGUCCGGUCCUCGAGCGUAUGGGGCUUUGUCACCCGCUCUUGUAGGCCCGGCCGGCGCUUGCCGACAACCAUCAAUCUUUUUUCAGGUUGACCUCGGAUCAGGUAGGGAUACCCGCUGAACUUAAGCAUAUCAAUAA